rnacentral:rRNA from 1 species
GACGAACGCUGGCGGCGUGCCUAAUACAUGCAAGUCGAGCGAAGUUUUUCUGGUGCUUGCACUAGAAAAACUUAGCGGCGAACGGGUGAGUAACACGUAAAGAACCUGCCUCAUAGACUGGGACAACUAUUGGAAACGAUAGCUAAUACCGGAUAACAGUAUUUCUCGCAUGAGAGAUAUUUAAAAGUUGGUUAUGCUAACACUAUGAGAUGGCUUUGCGGUGCAUUAGCUAGUUGGUGGGGUAAAGGCCCACCAAGGCGACGAUGCAUAGCCGACCUGAGAGGAUGAUCGGCCACACUGGGACUGAGACACGGCCCAGAUUCCUACGGGAGGCAGCAGUAGGGAAUCUUCCGCAAUGGGCGAAAGCCUGACGGAGCAACGCCGCGUGAGUGAAGAAGGAUUUCGGUUCGUAAAGCUCUGUUGUUAGGGAAGAAUGGAUAUGUAGUAACUAUACAUGUAAGAGACGGUACCUAACCAGAAAGCCACGGCUAACUACGUG